UGGGGAAUUUUGCACAAUGGGGGGAACCUUGAUGCAGCGACGCCGCGUGAGGGAUGGAGGCCUUCGGGUUGUGAACCUCUUUCGCUCGUGUGCAAGCCGCUAUUUGGGUAGUGGUGAGUGUAGCGGGUAAAGAAGCGCCGGCUAACUACGUGCCAGCAGCCGCGGUAAUAUGUAGGGCGCGAUCGUUGUCCGGAUUUAUUGGGCGUAAAGGGCUUGUAGGCGGUUUGUCGCGCCUGUCGUGUAAUCCUCUGGCUUAACUGGGGGUGUGCGGUAGGUACAGGCAAGCUUGAGUGCGGUAGGGGAGAUUGGAAUUCCUGGUGUAGCGGUGGAAUGCGCAGAUAUCAGGAGGAACACCGGUGGCGAAGGCGGGUCUCUGGGCCGUUACUGACGCUGAGGAGCGAAAGCGUGGGGAGCGAACAGG
rnacentral:rRNA from 1 species